rnacentral:misc_RNA from 1 species
CAGAGUGGCAAGACUCCCUAAACCAUUGUGAACCUACCUUCUACCGUUGCUUCGGCGGGCGGGCCCAGCGCCCCCCCCGGCCCCCCGCGGGGCGCCCGCCGGAGGAUACCCAAACUCUUGACAUUAGUGGCCUCUCUGAGUAUUCUUUACUGAAUAAGUCA